CUCACCCGGACAGAAAGGGGCCGUGUGGCGCGGUCCCCGUCGGGCUCCCGCCUGCGCCGCCGCCGCCGCCCCUCUCCCGGCCGGGCUGCGGCGGCCAGGCCGGCGAGGCGCCCCCCGUGGGGUCUGCGGCGGGCCCCGCGCGCCCCCGGCCCGACCCCGGCCCCCGGCCCCGGCGCCUCCCGCGGGGAGAGCCAGCAGGGGCCGCCCGGGGAGAGCCGGCCGCCGAGGCCCGGCCCGCCGCCCCCUCCUGCUCGCGCGCUCAAGGACAUUUUGCUUUUCCUCCCAAGGACAAAGGACAAUAAAAGGAGCCGGGGAGCCACUCACCGGGUCCGAGGCGGCUGUCGGCACCUCCCGGGCGCCCGCACCCGCGUCCCGCGCGGGGCCGCCCGCCCGAGCCUCCCGCCCGCGCCGGGUCGAGCCGCCGGGGCCCCGGGGAGCCUCCGCGGCCGCUGCCGCAGCGCCGCUCUCGGCGUCGUGGGCCCGGCCGCCAGGCGCCUCGGGCGCGGGCUCCGACGCCGGCGCGCGGCCCGCCUCGCCCCAGCCGCCGCCGCUUGGCUCCCGCGGGCCUGCGCACCGCCCGGGCGCAGCUCCCCGCCGGCCGGCGACCCUGCGGCCGCGGCGGAGCGCCUGACAGCUCGCGGUGCUGCUGCCUCUCCGGCCAUCUUGUGCCGUGUGUGUGUGGUGUCUCUCUCCCGUCUCCUCUCUCGGCUUUACUCCCUCCUCCUCCUUCCCCCCCGCCCCACACACCACACAACAUGGCCUCUUCGCUGCGGCGGCGGCUGCGGCGGCGGCAGCAGCUCCGCCGCGCUCCAGCCCGCUCCCCUCCCCCACUCCCCGCCUCCCGCCCGCAGCCCCGGGGCCCAGCGCGCACGCGCGCCGCCGCCCGCCCGCCUCGGCCAUUGGCCGCGCGAGCUUCCUGCCACCCCUUCCCGGGAGCGGCCCCACGCACGCUCGCAGGCGUCUUCCUCCCUCCUGACAACAACCACCUCGAUUCUAUUGGCUGGUUGUGCUCCCACCCCCUCGGCUGCAGGCGCUCGGAUAGGCGGACAUUACUGCCACUCACCCCCCGUCGGUGUUUCUGCUCUUCUUGAGGGGCACCAGCCCGCGAUUGGCUGA
rnacentral:lncRNA from 1 species